CCAGACACUAAGCUUUGGAGACAAAGAAAAUAGGAAGGAACAUGGAAAGUCAAAUCUUGUGGCCAUCUAGCACGGAAAAAUUCAAGUACCUGUUCCCAAAGAAGAAUCGAUCAAGGGAUUAACUCUAAAAUAUCCUGGUUAGUUAAAUUAUACCCCCCUUCAUCAUCCCAUAAAAUCAUUCCUUUCUUUUUUUUUCUUUUUUAUAGUGAAAUAUUCGAAAUGCAGAAAAUCUGGUGUCCAGUAGAAAACAACUGCAGCUAGAGGGCAAAGUGGAUAGAAGGCUGGACUUGGAGUCAAGGAAAUCUGAGUUCUAAUCCAUCCUCAGUUCUGGUGAAAAUGUGAUCCCAGCAUCUAUCAUCUAGAGUACCUCCUGAGUGGAAAAGGGAUUAAGCUUUGAACUAAUUGGUGAUGUGUAUAGCUAAACAGAUGACCAGCCCUGGAGCAGAGAAGCCACUUUCCCCAGCAUGUUGGCAGAGAUCUGAAAAAACAGAGCAAAAGGAAUGGAAUCUCUCAUGCAAUCAUUUUCCUGCCUUGGGCUUAUAUUGGAGCAACCUCCUUUUACAAGCUUCAAUGACUUUGGUUCACUGGGUCUUGGUUUUGAGCUCCAUGCCUUCUGCUACCUCAACAACAGCCCUAAAAAGAACCCUCCAAGUAAAAGCAGAAGAACAGAUGCCUGGAGAAACCAUCAUUGCCCCUAAUUGGGGCCUUGACUCGAGAUCUCUGGUGCUGAGAGAGGAGACCUUUGUCCUGCUUCCCUCACCUCGGUGUCUGGUGGCAUGUCUGUCUUCUGUCCUGGAUACUGCAUGUCUGUCCCCAACCCCGGCCCCAAGUGUUCUUCCUUCUGGUUCUCAACGCUCUGCACUUUGUGUCCUUGAACUAAGUGCCUGCAAAUUCACAUUAUGUAAAAAUGGCUUUACUUGUUAUGGGCCAUUUAUGUAAAGUAAGAACGGUCUGUGUUUGUAUCCCUGGUGCUUCAAAGAGUGCCUGGCACAUAGUAAGGGAUUAAUAAAUGCUUAUUG
rnacentral:lncRNA from 1 species